rnacentral:miRNA from 1 species
UACAAGGGUUUGUUUGUGUUUGA